CCACCCCCUUUCCCCACUUCCUCCGUAAACAGAGAUAUACUCAGCGUGCGUCUCUUCUAUUUCCAGUUACAGAAAAAUCAACAAACAGAGAUACACUUAGCAUGCGUCUCUCUGGGUUUCUUGGAGUUUGGUUCUCGUCAAGUACAAUUCUACUGGCUGGAGGUCGGAGUGGAAUUGAAUCAUAUAUUUGAUAAAUAGUGAAGGUGAUCUUCAAACCCCUCAACGCCCAACUCUCCGCAAAGGAUCAGUCGCAAAGCACAUAGUUGUGUUAAAAGAAGAACUCCAGCCUUCUCUCGUCA